rnacentral:rRNA from 1 species
UACGGAGGGUGCAAGCGUUGUCCGGAAUCAUUGGGCGUAAAGCGCACGUAGGCGGUCGCGUAAGUCUCGCGGUGAAAUGCCGGGGCUCAACCCCGUGCCUGCCGGGGAUACUGCGCGACUGGAGACAGGCAGAGGCCAGCGGAAUUCCGGGUGUAGCGGUGGAAUGCGUAGAGAUCCGGAAGAACACCGGAGGCGAAGGCGGCUGGCUGGGCCUGAUCUGACGCUGAGGUGCGAAAGCGUGGGGAGCGAACAGG